UCAUUUAUAUCUAUCUGUCAUCUAUCUAUCUAUCAUCUAUCUAUCUAUCUAUCUAUCUAUCUAUCCAUCAGUCUAUCUAUCUUUAUACCCACAUAUUAUGUUUCUUUAUGUGAAAAGAAGUUAAUAUGAGCUGCAAAGCUUUAUAUGCAAAAUGCUAUGGUUUGAGAAUUCCUACAUAGAAAACUUAACCCCUGUUCAGAUGGUAUCAGACAUGAGUGUCUUUGUGGAAGUGAUUAGGUCUUAAGAGUAUAUUUACUAUGAACAAGAUUAGUGCAUUUAUAAAAGACACUCCUUUCCUCAUGUGAUGCUUGAUCUGGUGUCUUGAUAGGAUUCUCCAUAUAUAAAACAAAAAGGAGAAUUUGUUUUUGUUCUUUAAAGUUCUUCAUCUUAUAGUGUUUUGUUGUAGAAUGAAUGGCACAGAAAAUUACAAAAAGAGACUUGUGAGUAGAAGAAUCACAGUAGAUCAUUUUAUGCUUCCCAUCCUAUGAAAAGAAAAGACAAGGGCAAGGAAAGAAGAGAAGGGAUGUUGGCAGCUGUGGAUUGGGUUGUCCUAUAGCUCAUUUGUUUCCUUUUAGAUCCAGUGGGUGAGAGGAUACCUUCUUAAACAACUGGGUGAUCAAGGGACCAUAUUAAAAUAUUUGCUUCCUUUCCCAUUCCUUCUUCCAGGUGCUCAAACAUAGUUUGUGUGAUCCUACCCAAUUCACCUCUGCAGCUGGCUGGGCUUGCCUGUGUUUUCAGAGUGUAGAGUUAUAUUCUAUACAUAACUGGACUUGAAGAGAUUGUUUUAAGAGCAGAAGAAGUAUGAGCAUUAUAAGGCAAGGCUACAGAGAAAAGACUGAGAUUCUGUCUGGAAUACAGAAGUGAAGUUGAACCUUGGUUUUAGCUUUACAGUGCUUAGCAUCAUAACUAGUUGGAAUAAUAACACAAAGCCCAUGACAGUGGACUGUGUGGGAAGUACUCUGCUACUGGAAAACUUCCACAAACUCAGGACAGUGCCAUGAAGGAAAUAAUGCCUCUAGAAACCAUUAAACCUAAAGAACCUAAGAUCACUAGUUUGAUUCUCUCUUCUUAAAAUAGCCCCGAGAAGUGAAAAUUUUGUUUUGGAGUUGUAGAAGACUGCAGUUCUGGAGUGAAAACUUUGCAGAUGCCCACAACAUUUUGCAGGGUGAAGAGUUGGAAACAGCGUCUGGAGUUAUCACACAAGACACAGAUGGGCUGUAGUAUAGGUUCCUGGGAAGAAGGAGCCUAUAUUUUGAAAGCAGACAGAUAAAAAAAUAAAUGAAUAAAUAAAAAAAUUAUACUUGUGA